rnacentral:lncRNA from 1 species
AACUUAGCGAGGGGAGGCUUGAUAUCGAAAGGUGAAGGCCAUUUCCCAGAGUCUGAAAGUGGAGGGAACAAUACAGCCAAUCUAAGUAAAAACCUCGUUCCCACAUUGGAUACUGGUUUGAGAUGCGCUGUUUUAACUUGCCGUGAUGAAAACAAAAGUGGAGGAAAACUGGUAGGGGGGACGAGUUCCACUGGCAUAUUUCCCAUUUUCCUCCUCCUCGGAAAAAUCUGUUUACAAGGAGCAUUUUGUCUGGGUGAAUGUCUCUCUGGCAUUUUAAACUUUCGAGACGUGCUGCGAAGCGACCGGAGCUCAUCUGAUGUCAUCCCAAUUUUCAGCGACAAAGAAUUUGAUAAUUUCGUAGCUUCUGUUAUUUUGGCGGUAUGGAUCGUUGCUUUGUUCGCCAUGGUCGCCACCACGUCCGCCGGAGGCUACGGAGGCUACUCUGGCUACGGAGGAGGCUACGGAGGUCUUGGCUACUCCGGCUACGGAGGUCUGGGCUACUCUGGCUACGGAGGACUCGGCUACUCAUCCGGCUACUCCGGCUACGGAGGUUACGGAAGCUACGGUGGAAUUGGACACGCCGCCGUCGUCCCAUACUCCGGCUACGGUGGAUACCGUAGUGGUUACUCAGGUAUCGGUGGAUUUGGUGGAUUUGGACACGGAUACUCCGCCUACCCGUCUUACGGUGGCUACGCUGGAUACGGUGGAUACGGUCACGGUUACUCUGGAUACGGUGCCCACGGACUCCUCAAGAAAUAAACUAUCUCGUCUCUCCUAAAGUUCCUGUGAUACAUAUAAGUUACCAACUCAAAGUUAUUAUGUUCUGCUCGUUCACUGCCUGCCUUUUAAGUGCAAUAAAUUAUUGGUAAAUUGUUAUAUAUUUUUACAUCAUUUUUUCACUCCGUAAAUAUUUUGUUGUUCGCAUUUUGUUUUAAAAUGUUAUGAAUUUAAACAAAAUAAACAAAGUUAAUUCCUUCUGUUGAAUCAAGCAUUAUCAUUUUAUCCAAUUUUGAAUUAUUCUUAUCAAAAUGCAAAAUGUAUAAUCAGAGAAAAUUUAACCAAUGGCGACUACAGGGAACCAAGUUUUGUCAUAGUUACAGCACACAUUAUUUCUGAAAGAACAUCUCAUUUCUUUGGAGCAUCUCCUUGUGAAUAUGUUUUAAGGUAAUGAAGGUAUUAGGAGCGAAUAACCCCAGUAAGAGCUUAGGCAACAAUUUUGUAGUGAAGAUUUUUUUCGUCAACUUGCCAUCACGACCCAGUUUUUAAAUGCGGAUUUCAGGUAAAAUCCAAAACACCUGAGAAAAUUAAAAUAAAUAGAUACGUUUUGUUUCUCUCUUGAAUAACCACCUCAGGUAAACUUGUCGUAUACAUAUGAAUCUAACAGUAAUUACUGAUAAUUAUGCUAGUUUGCAGUCAAUUUCGUGUAAACGUCUCCUAAAGUGUGUCUUAGAUAUUCGUUCAUCGGAUCACUCAAAAUGUUCUCAUGCAAAAAACCUUGCCUUGUGCACAGUAACUAUACAUUGCGCCUUUUUUAAAUAUAUUAUCUUAGUUUCAUCCUUCUCGUAAUGUGCAUCUUUGUUAAUACGAAUGCUUCAGGAGAAAACAUUGAGCAGGAAUUUUCAAUAAAAAUACUUUCCUACUGGCUCAUUGCAAUUGAUGCACUUGUAGCAUUUUAUACGUUCACCAGGGGGCGCUCACAUUAUUUCUCACAAUAUUUGUAUCCU